UCCAAAGUCAAAGUCCCCGGACAACGAAGCACCAAACGCAUCCGCAGGACGAUCCACUUCCUCGCCAUCAUCGUGAAAAUCGAUCGGGACCUCCUCGGUAUCGGGAGAAACCGGGAUGGAAUCCCAGAACCCUUGAAUCCUCUCGUCGAUCGGAGGGAUAAGCGCCUCGGCAUGGGCACGGUCACUCAUCCCACUCUUCAUCAAGCUCAUUUCCUCUUCAAACACAUAGUCGUCG
rnacentral:lncRNA from 1 species